rnacentral:rRNA from 1 species
AUUGAACGCUGGCGGCAGGCCUAACACAUGCAAGUCGAGCGGAUGAAGGGAGCUUGCUCCUGGAUUCAGCGGCGGACGGGUGAGUAAUGCCUAGGAAUCUGCCUGGUAGUGGGGGAUAACGUCCGGAAACGGGCGCUAAUACCGCAUACGUCCUGAGGGAGAAAGUGGGGGAUCUUCGGACCUCACGCUAUCAGAUGAGCCUAGGUCGGAUUAGCUAGUUGGUGGGGUAAAGGCCUGCCAAGGCGACGAUCCGUAACUGGUCUGAGAGGAUGAUCAGUCACACUGGAACUGAGACACGGUCCAGACUCCUACGGGAGGCAGCAGUGGGGAAUAUUGGACAAUGGGCGAAAGCCUGAUCCAGCCAUGCCGCGUGUGUGAAGAAGGUCUUCGGAUUGUAAAGCACUCUAAGUUGGGAGGAAGGGCAGUAAGUUAAUACCUUGCUGUUUUGACGUUACCAACAGAAUAAGCACCGGCUAACUUCGUG